AGCAGCCGCGGUAAUUCCAGCUCCAAUAGCGUAUAUUAAAGUUGUUGCAGUUAAAAAGCUCGUAGUUGAAUUUCGGGGUUAGUAGGUUGGUCAUGCCUCUGGUAUGUACUGGUCUCACGGAUUCCUCCUUCCUGAUGAGCCGUAAUGCCAUUAAUUUGGUGUUGCGGGGAAUUUGGACUGUUACUUUGAAAAAAAUUAGAGUGUUUAAAGCAGGCUCACGCUUGAAUACAUUAGCAUGGAAUAAUGGAAUAGGACGUUUGAUUCUAUUUUGUUGGUUUCUAGGAUCGACGUAAUGAUUAAUAGGGAUAGUUGGGGGGCAUUAGUAUUCAAUUGUCAGAGGUGAAAUUCUUGGAUUUAUUGAAGACUAACUACUGCGAAAGCAUUUGCCAAGGAUGUUUUCAUUAAUCAAGAACGAAAGUUAGGGGAUCGAAGACGAUCAGAUACCGUCGUAGUCUUAACCAUAAACUAUGCCGACUAGGGAUCGGAUGAUGUUAAUUUUUUUAAUGACUCAUUCGGCGCC
rnacentral:rRNA from 1 species